rnacentral:tRNA from 1 species
UGUCUUAUAGUUAAUUUAUAAUAUUAAAAUGCAAAUUUAAAGUAAACCAUAGUUUAAGGCUU